AGCUCCAAUAGCGUAUAUUAAAGUUGUUGCAGUUAAAAAGCUCGUAGUUGGAUUUCUGGUGGGAGGGAUCGGUCCUGCAUUCUUUGUAGGAACUUGUAUCCUCUCCGGCCAUCCUUGGGUGGAUCUUGUCUGGCAUUAAGUUGUCAGGCAGGGGAUGCCCAUCGUUUACUGUGAAAAAAUUAGAGUGUUCAAAGCAGACUUAUGCCAUUGAAUAUAUUAGCAUGGGAUAAUAAGAUAGGGCCCUGGUACUAUUUUGUUGGUUUGCGUACCGAGGUAAUGAUUAAUAGGGACAGUUGGGGGUAUUUGUAUUCAGUAUUCAGUGGUGAAAUACUUAGACCUACGGAAGACAAACUACUGCGAAAGCAUUUACCAAGGAUGUUUUCA
rnacentral:rRNA from 1 species